GCUUUCCUGUGGCUCAGUUGGUAGAGCAUUAACAAAACAAGGGUCCUGGGUUCAAAUCCCAGGGAAUGCA